UUCGUCACACUAUCAUUAACUGAAUCCAUAGGUUAAUGAGGCGAACCGGGGGAACUGAAACAUCUAAGUACCCCGAGGAAAAGAAAUCAACCGAGAUUCCCCCAGUAGCGGCGAGCGAACGGGGAGGAGCCCAGAGCCUGAAUCAGCAUGUGUGUUAGUGGAAGCGUCUGGAAAGGCGCGCGAUACAGGGUGACAGCCCCGUACACAAAAGCGCAUGUGCUGUGAGCUCGAUGAGUAGGGCGGGACACGUGGUAUCCUGUCUGAAUAUGGGGGGACCAUCCUCCAAGGCUAAAUACUCCUGACUGACCGAUAGUGAACCAGUACCGUGAGGGAAAGGCGAAAAGAACCCCGGCGAGGGGAGUGAAAAAGAACCUGAAACCGUGUACGUACAAGCAGUGGGAGCACAGGUUUACCUGUGUGACUGCGUACCUUUUGUAUAAUGGGUCAGCGACUUAUAUUCUGUAGCAAGGUUAACCGAAUAGGGGAGCCGGAGGGAAACCGAGUCUUAAUUGGGCGUUAAGUUGCAGGGUAUAGACCCGAAACCCGGUGAUCUAGCCAUGGGCAGGUUGAAGGUUGGGUAACACUAACUGGAGGACCGAACCGACUAAUGUUGAAAAAUUAGCGGAUGACCUGUGGCUGGGGGUGAAAGGCCAAUCAAACCGGGAGAUAGCUGGUUCUCCCCGAAAGCUAUUUAGGUAGCGCCUCGUGAAUUCAUCUCCGGGGGUAGAGCACUGUUUCGGCUAGGGGGCCAUCCCGGCUUACCAACCCGAUGCAAACUGCGAAUACCGGAGAAUGUUAUCACGGGAGACACACGGCGGGUGCUAACGUCCGUCGUGAAGAGGGAAACAACCCAGACCGCCAGCUAAGGUCCCAAAGUCAUGGUUAAGUGGGAAACGAUGUGGGAAGGCCCAGACAGCCAGGAUGUUGGCUUAGAAGCAGCCAUCAUUUAAAGAAAGCGUAAUAGCUCACUGGUCGAGUCGGCCUGCGCGGAAGAUGUAACGGGGCUAAACCAU
rnacentral:rRNA from 1 species